GAAUAUAAUUUAUUCAUAAUAAUACAUUGAAUAGGAAAUUUUCGUUGUUUUACUUUUUUGUAUGAUUAAUAUUUUGAAUUGAAAAAUGUUCGAAACCUAUUUGCCGCAAGUUAUUCGGUAUAAAUACAUAAUUCAAAGUCAUGACUGUCACAACACUGUAUUUACAUUUAAAAACAUUUGUUCCAACAUAAAAGAUCCAAUAUGCGAUCAAAAUUGCAAACUGUGUCAAAAUAAAGUAUUUAAUAUCAUGCAUUUAUUACUGCUAUCCAGAUAGAAUGGCAAUUGAAGAUUUCAGUCUCAAUCAUAUCAAACUGUUCAUUCAUAAGGAUUACACAACUAUAUUUUUGAAUAGACUUUGUGUAAAAGCAAAUGAAAAAAACUAUCAGAAUGAUGAAAUUGAGCCAUUAAAGUGUUAUGAGUAAAGUAGUACUGUGGUGUUGGAAAUACGGACCAACUUUACGACCUAAAUUGACUGAUUAGCCAGUCACUAUCAAACAGAUAACUAAACUCUUUAACUUAUCGAGGUCAUUAACAUUCACAAGGCAGUCUGUUGCAGUCCUAGCACUGAGUUAAAUCUUGAAUCUUGUGUCGGUUGAUAGCUUAAAACUGUGAAAUGAAGAAUACUGGGUUGAUAGGAGACAGAGAUGAGAAGAAGAAAGUCUUGAUUUGGCACGUCAGACAAAAUUAAUAGAUUCAUAAGAUUAUUUUAGAACUAAUAGGAUAAAUAAUACGUAGAAAGACCAAAUGUUAACCAACAAAUUAACAGGAACUGCAACUUUAAAUGUUUGGAGUAAUUUUUACUCCACAUCUGCUGUCAUAUUUCAUAAUUCACACAUCGUAUAGAGACAUCUGAGUAUCAUCAAUGGUUACAAGAAAACGCAAGGAUCUUUUUAUUAAUCUUUAUAAAUAAAGUUAUGUAGUACCUAAA